rnacentral:rRNA from 1 species
ACGAACGCUGGCGGCGUGCCUAAUACAUGCAAGUCGAGCGGAACUUAGAAAGCUUGCUUUCUAAGUUUAGCGGCGGACGGGUGAGUAACACGUGGGCAACCUGCCUAUAAGACUGGGAUAACUUCGGGAAACCGGAGCUAAUACCGGAUAAUAUAAAAGAUCACAUGGUCUUUUAUUGAAAGAUGGCUUCGGCUAUCACUUAUAGAUGGGCCCGCGGCGCAUUAGCUAGUUGGUGAGGUAAUGGCUCACCAAGGCGACGAUGCGUAGCCGACCUGAGAGGGUGAUCGGCCACACUGGGACUGAGACACGGCCCAGACUCCUACGGGAGGCAGCAGUAGGGAAUCUUCCGCAAUGGACGAAAGUCUGACGGAGCAACGCCGCGUGAGCGAUGAAGGCCUUCGGGUCAUAAAGCUCUGUUGUUAGGGAAGAACAAGUAUCGUUCGAAUAGGGCGGUACCUUGACGGUACCUAACCAGAAAGCCACGGCUAACUACGUG